GUGGUUGAUCACAUUGUAGCUUAACUGAAUCUUUUUGUGUAUCAUACCGAGCAAUCCCAGGUGAGUUCAUUGCAUUUUCUCAAGCAUGCGUCCCGGUGGUUUGGGACAACUGGUCGUUAACGUUUGGAACAUGGACUUGCUAUCUGGGAGUGCUGGAGUGGUCAUGGAUCGAGACUCUUGGAUUCACUUAUAAACAAUGCAUUGAUUUUGAUUAUUAUUAUGAAACGAUUACAUGCUUCCGCUACACAACUUUUGAGAAUUGAU
rnacentral:lncRNA from 1 species